GUAUAAGAGACAGCAGCAGCCACGGUAAAACGUAGGGUGCAAGCGUUAAUCGGAAUUACUGGGCGUAAAGCGUGCGCAGGCGGUUAUAUAAGACAGAUGUGAAAUCCACGGGCUCAACCUGGGAACUGCAUUUGUGACUGUAUAGCUAGAGUACGGCAGAGGGGGAUGGAAUUCCGCGUGUAGCAGUGAAAUGCGUAGAUAUGCGGAGGAACACCGAUGGCGAAGGCAAUCCCCUGGGCCUGUACUGACGCUCAUGCACGAAAGCGUGGGUAGCAAACAGGAUUAGAUACCCGCGUAGUCCCUGUCUCUUAUAC
rnacentral:rRNA from 1 species